rnacentral:tRNA from 1 species
GGAGGUAUAGCUCAGCAGUAGAGUGUCUGCUCAGCAUGUGCAAGGUCCUGGGUUCAAUUCUUAGUGCCUCCA